UCAUUCUUUCCCCACACCCCCAACCCUCCCCACUUCCCCCUCCCCAACUAUAAAUUCCCUUUUGGAGCACGCUGCCCCCUUUUUAAUCCACAUUUGUGUUUCAGAUCAUGUAGAAAGGACAGAAAGGGAGCAGGGGCUUUUGUCUAUUGUUCUCUUUGUGCUACUGGAGAGAAACUGCAGUCCCAAGACUUAAGAGUCUAAAAAUGGUGUACCCAAGGUUAACCAUUUGGGUCAGCCAGGAACUCUUCCCAACUAGCCAAGGGGAUGGAGGAUUUCCGAAGGAAAAUCUUACUAUCCCAAAGGAAGUUAAUCGCAAGAAGAACAAUGAGACUGAAGCCGCAUUCCUGACUCCAGCAAAUGGCUAUGGAUAUCACUUCACUGAAAUCAAUUACCUCUACUCUUUUUAAUCAUAAUUCCUCCAUUUGUAUUACAUAUGGUAUAUGGGUGUUGAUGAGGUCAUGGUGUCAUAUAUCGGGAAUUGUUUCUGUGUAAAUCAUCAAGUAUAAGAAGAAACUAUGGGACUCUGAGCCUUGCUUUAGAGAAUUACAGUGGAUAAAUGUGUAUCAUACAAACCGUUUUUACAUUCUGACUCAAGCUCUCAGAAUUUCACACUGUGAAUCCAUGUUUACCAACAUUACAGGUGGGCCUUCAGGCCUGGUUCUGCCACAACGUCUUCCACUACUCAAACUCCACUGCUGACAUGCAACCGGUAAACUGCUGCCUCUCCAUUUCCACCAUUCCUAAUUGCUUCUUGCAGAGGCUGAGAGUCCCCCUUUCCCCCAUUUAGAUGUAACAAGCCUAGUAGUUUAUUUUCAUCAAUUGUCUGUAUAUCUCUAUAUUUUAUCCAUGUACUCUUUUGAUGUAUAGAAGUAGUAUGAAACUCAUGGUUUCCUUGUGGUAAGUGAUUGAGAUGCUGCCACGGGAUUUGAGACACUGAUGAAUGGUGCUAUUUUGGACUUUAAACAUGCUCCUUGGCAAGGUAGCUCUGAUGGAGUUAUUUUUUAUUUCCAUGUUCUGAGAAGGUGUUGGUACUUUGUUUUCCUGAAUGUUGUUCUUUAGAUGGGACUGACUUGUUUCCUUGUGUCUUCAGUGUGGCUUUCUUAUUCAGUGUUGUAGGGUGAGUAACUACUUAUAGAGUAAAAGUGAGGGACUGAUUCUGGAUCAGGGUAUGCUCACAAACAUGCAACUGUAGUGGGAGCAAUCACAAAACUGUAAUUUAAGUAAGUCUCCUUUCUGUAUCCUGUUCACAUAACGUAGAAAAUGAUGAGCAAUAAUUUUCUAAUAGUCUUUGGAAGUCUCACACUUUGAAGGUGGAGGAGAGAAGGCUUUUUUGGGGAAAAAGGGGAGGGAAAAUUUUUAAAAUCUUCAUCCUGAUGUGGUAGGGAAGAAACAGCAAUUUUUUUCUUUAAACUUUAAAAGGAGACACUUAAAGGCAAAGAGUAUAUUUCAGUAUCAAAAUGUAGAUUUCACAUUUUUGUUCUUGCUCCCAAAGAAUUAAGAAAAAACAAAAUUAAAAACCCCCAGUACCAUUUACUCAUGGAAUGUUGUUGUGUUAGACACAGUCUGAAAGCCCACCUUAAUUUUUUUAUAUAACUCUGUCUUUUAGCUCUUCCUUUUACAGGGCAGGCCUUGUUCUGAACUGUUUUACCUUUUGACUGUUAAAUACUAAGGCAUGCACUAUACUGCUUAGGUCCCCCCACCCCCUUUUCUUGUAAGUUUUCUUUUCCAAUAGAUUAGGUGCAUUAAUUGUGCUGUAUAUAGAGCAAGAAACAGUACUCAGCAGUUGUGGCAUUUAUGUAUAGUUGCAGUUGUGUACUGUUGAAAAUGCAGGCUUUUGUAACAGUGUGAUCUAUAAUAAUGCACUGCAAGUACCCAAUGUAUUUUAGCUAUUUUAGUAUGAUUUGCUGAAUAAAUAUGCAAGCUCUAAGGGUAA